CGCUGGAGACCUUUCUGCUUCCCUCAGGAUUGAAAAAAUAAUAGAUUCCGUCACAGUCUCACAUUGGGUUGAGGAGCAUGCUCGCAGGUUCACGAGGGACAGUGUCUGCACAAGAAAGGGAGCAAGUGUCUCUGGCUCAUAUGCUAUCGCUGCACACAUAAAACAGGCCAUUAAGCAAGUUAGCGAUCAUUAAUGAACAUACUCGAGCAAGAUAGAUAUUUAUGCAAGUUGACGCGACACGUCAUUCAUUAAAAUAUUUGCUCAGAACACUGUCAAAUAAACAGCUGCACAUACAGCAACUCUGUUGUUGAGAACCUGCAUUGGUCUUAUAACAGUUAUGAUAAUGUAGAUCUAGAUCUGCAAGCGUUUCAGUAAAGAAUGACACGAGUCUUUUACACGUUCUGAUGUCAACUCAUGCAGUGAUACAGUAAAUAUGUGUGAAUAAUUUGGUGAAAAAAAUCAUAUUGUGGGUAUUAUGUUUCAAUUUAGGGUUGUGAUAAAAUACUAAUAAGUUUAGUAGUUUUAUUUACAGGCUACGAUUCAGAGAAUAAAAAAAAAUAGAAGAAUACCACAUUUGAACAAAACAAAAAUAUUAUUUAUUUACCUGUACUGUCUGUUUUUUUUUUAACUUCCAACUCCCACUGUCUGUUGCCGCCAGGCAAAUUAAAGCGAUGCACGCGCUGUUUGGCAGCGUGUUUCAUUGGUGGAUCUAUGUGUCACCCAAGUAGCCUGGUGGUGAUUGGUUGGCGGACCGCUAAUGUCACGGAAGCAGGUGUGGGAGUGUAGCGCCUUAGCCCAGUAAUGCUGGUAGCCUUUCUUAAUAGAGCCGAAACGUAGGCCCAGCGUUUCAGCGGUAAGGAUGUGGACGGUGACAGUUAAUUGGAGAAGCGGGCCAAUUGGAGCCUACACUAUGUGUGUGAGAUGAAAGAGUUGGUGGUAACUGACCUGGAGACUGUGCUUCCAGGACACUGGUAUCUUCCCCCUUCAAGCUACAUCAAGGCACACAGCCUCAACUUCACAGGACAGUCGACAGCCCAUGGACAGCAGAUGAAAAACUAAGGCAGCAUAUCCUGCGCCUGUUAAAUCCUCAACUAAUUAGCAAAAAUGGUGUCCUUUCUUUUCUUUUUAAGCAUUUAGUCUCAGGGGGUGGCAAAGAGAGAAUAAGACAGAGAGGAGGAGGGAGAAAGGAGAGAUGGGGUAAUACUGAGAGCAAGACUGGAGCGAGGGAGUGACUGAGAGGGAGGAGAAGCAUCUGAGCUCUCAGCUGGGCUGUUUUGAAAACACACUGUUGAAAGCCCCUCGGUUAAUUCAUGGCUUUUGUUUUUAGACCUUUUGUGUUUGUCAGUUUGACCAUGUAACAUCAUACAUCUGGUCUAUAGAUUUUUGGGAGCUUUCUCUCUCUCAGGGACACAUAGUGUCCCCCUGGGCUCGAAUUCGAGUGGUCGUGUAACAUAAAAGCACCUCAAGUGUGGACUGAGGGAGAGUCGCAGACAGCCAGACAUGGGAAU
rnacentral:lncRNA from 1 species